rnacentral:rRNA from 1 species
GAAGCAAAAUCGUGAGGCGGAGCAAAUCACAAAACACAGUCUCAGUUCAGGUUGUAGGCUGAAACUCGCCUAUAUGAAGCUGGAAUCGCUAGUAAUCGCGAAUCAGAAUGUCGCGGUGAAUACGUUCCCGGGUCUUGUACACACCGCCCGUCACACCAUGGGAGUCAGUAACGCCCGAAGUCAGUGACCCAACCAUAACCGGAGGGAGCUGCCGAAGGUGGGACCGAUAACUGGGGUGAAGUCGUAACAAGGUACC